rnacentral:SRP_RNA from 1 species
GUCGAGCUUAGUAAUGCAAGCUUGUAACCCGAGUGGGGACAUCAGGGUGUUGGAACGUUGGUUCGGCCUCAGCUGGUUGGGUUUGUUUGUCAUGGCUUCAUUCUGGUCCCCCCAUAUCAAGCUGGGAGUUGGGCCACGGGGUUUGGGUGAAAGCUCAUGCUUCACGGUUCCUAGAGUGGAGGGCACCGCGUAAGGCUGGUUUCACAGAGCAACGAUCACCUCCCCCUCUCAGCAGUGGAGGGAUAACGGGUCGGUUCCAUCCGGAUCCACCAUGGCCCGCUAGACUGGCCCAAUUGGACCAACGUCUUU